rnacentral:rRNA from 1 species
GUGGGGAAUCUUAGACAAUGGGGGAAACCCUGAUCUAGCCAUGCCGCGUGAGCGAUGAAGGCCUUAGGGUUGUAAAGCUCUUUCAGCUGGGAAGAUAAUGACUGUACCAGCAGAAGAAGCCCCGGCUAACUCCGUGCCAGCAGCCGCGGUAAUACGGAGGGGGCUAGCGUUGUUCGGAAUUACUGGGCGUAAAGCGCACGUAGGCGGACCGGAAAGUCAGAGGUGAAAUCCCAGGGCUCAACCUUGGAACUGCCUUUGAAACUCCUGGUCUUGAGGUCGAGAGAGGUGAGUGGAAUUCCGAGUGUAGAGGUGAAAUUCGUAGAUAUUCGGAGGAACACCAGUGGCGAAGGCGGCUCACUGGCUCGAUACUGACGCUGAGGUGCGAAAGCGUGGGGAGCAAACAGGAUUAGAAACCCCGGUAGUCC